AUUGAACGCUGGCGGCAGGCCUAACACAUGCAAGUCGAGCGAGCGGCGGACGGGUGAGUAAUGUAUGGGGAUCUGCCUGAUGGAGGGGGAUAACUACUGGAAAGGGUGGCUAAUACCGCAUACCAUAGGAUCGGCCCAUAUGGGAUUCGCUUGGUGGUGAGGGAACGGCUUACCAAGGCGACGAUCCGUAGCUGGUCUGAGAGGAUGAUCAGCGACACUGGGACUGAGACACGGCCCAGACUCCUACGGGAGGCAGCAGUGGGGAAUAUUGCACAAUGGGCGCAAGCCUGAUGCAGCCAUGCCGCGUGUAUGAAGAAGGCCUUCGGGUUGUAAAGUACUUUCAGUCGGGAGGCGUUACCGACAGAAGAAGCACCGGCUAACUCCGUGCCAGCAGCCGCGGUAAUAC
rnacentral:rRNA from 1 species